GACGAACCGUGCGAACGUUGUUCGGAAUCACUGGGCUUAAAGGGCGCGUAGGCGGGCUACCAAGUCUGUGGUGAAAUCCUCCAGCUUAACUGGAGAACGGCCGUGGAUACUGGUGGUCUCGAGGGAGAUAGGGGCAAGCGGAACUGUGCGUGGAGCGGUGAAAUGCGUUGAUAUGCACAGGAACUCCGGUGGCGAAGGCGGCUUGCUGGAUCUCUUC
rnacentral:rRNA from 1 species